rnacentral:rRNA from 1 species
UACGUAGGGAGCAAGCGUUGUCCGGAAUCAUUGGGCGUAAAGCGCGCGUAGGCGGCCCUGUAAGUCCGCUGUGAAAGUCAAAGGCUCAACCUUUGAAAGCCGGUGGAUACUGCAGGGCUAGAGUCCGGAAGAGGCGAGUGGAAUUCCUGGUGUAGCGGUGGGAUGCGCAGAUACCAGGAGGAACACCAAUAGCGAAGGCAGCUCGCUGGGACGGUACUGACGCUAAGGCGCGAAAGCGUGGGGAGCGAACAGG